UCAUGUCUCAAGAUCAGUCUGAAGUGAGUGACCCUAUGCACCUGAAGAGCUUUACUGCUCCUCACAGCACAAACAGUAACACUGUAUGGAGGACGGAGACUCAACAAGACAAUGUUGUAGGGAUUGCGUGCUUCUUGGAAAGGGGAAAUUCCCGACGAUCUUAUAGUCUAUGUGGAGCAUAUAAAGGCAAAGCACACUUCCUCUGUCACAAACACAUUCAACCGAACACUCUCACAAGAGAAACAACGAUUUAACCAACUCUAUAACUCCAGAGAGGGAACUGAACUAAACGACUGAACGAUGGAAUGCCAUGAACACUACAUUUUGCCUUCGGA